UAUCGUCUCUGAAACCUUUGAAAUCAGUUUUCCAUUAUAGCCUGUUGUAGUAACUGUGAUGAUGGUAACGUAGGGCCGAGUUGUGGUUUUCGCAUGCUGAGUUUAGUAGUCGUGCAUGCGACAUCGAGCUGCCGCGUCACCAACGGAGUCACCGCCGUUCAGUUUUCUCAGCUAUUCGUAAGUUCGGUUUAAGUUUCGGUUCUUACGUGCCGUGAUUAGAGUUGCUGUAGUUGCGACUACCGCGGAUUUCGGGCUGAGAGAAAAGAGUUCAAUUGACGCGUUUGGUUUUCGGGUUUCGGCUUGUCGAGGAAUCGGAUGAAGGAGCAUUAUGAAGAGUUAUGCUGCGUUUUGGUUUAUAUGAUAUUAUAUUAAUUAGAUAAUCUUUCUUCCCUCGUCUUUGUUAUUACAAUUUUGUAAGAGGGAUAGGAGUUGUAUGUUUUAUAUGUAUAUUACAUUAUAAGCUAUUAUGUACGAAGUCUUGUAUA